rnacentral:rRNA from 1 species
UACGUAGGGGGCAAGCGUUGUCCGGAAUCAUUGGGCGUAAAGCGCGUGUAGGCGGCUCGGUAAGUCUGCUGUGAAAGUCCAGGGCUCAACCCUGGAAAGCCGGUGGAAACUGUCGAGCUAGAGUCCGGAAGAGGCGAGUGGAAUUCCUGGUGUAGCGGUGAAAUGCGCAGAUAUCAGGAGGAACACCAAUGGCGAAGGCAGCUCGCUGGGACGGUACUGACGCUGAGACGCGAAAGCGUGGGGAGCAAACAGG